rnacentral:lncRNA from 1 species
UCUCGUAUAGAUGAUGCCCAUCCAAAUGGCAUGAAACUCUACAUCGGAGAAGGUCGAGUCAAAAAAUUAUGACCCCCCUACCACCAAAAGCCUAGCAUUUAGGUCUUAGAUGACAUAACUUGAACCACCUUAUCAUCUCUGACACUGACGUCAAAGUUGAUCUUGACAAACCUCGAGAGAAACCUUCAUUGUAUACCAAUGCU